rnacentral:rRNA from 1 species
AGAGUUUGAUCAUGGCUCAGAUUGAACGCUGGCGGCAGGCCUAACACAUGCAAGUCGAACGGUAACAGGAAGCAGCUUGCUGCUUUGCUGACGAGUGGCGGACGGGUGAGUAAUGUCUGGGAAACUGCCUGAUGGAGGGGGAUAACUACUGGAAACGGUGGCUAAUACCGCAUAACGUCGCAAGACCAAAGAGGGGGACCUUCGGGCCUCUUGCCAUCAGAUGUGCCCAGAUGGGAUUAGCUUGUUGGUGAGGUAACGGCUCACCAAGGCGACGAUCCCUAGCUGGUCUGAGAGGAUGACCAGCCACACUGGAACUGAGACACGGUCCAGACUCCUACGGGAGGCAGCAGUGGGGAAUAUUGCACAAUGGGCGCAAGCCUGAUGCAGCCAUGCCGCGUGUAUGAAGAAGGCCUUCGGGUUGUAAAGUACUUUCAGCGGGGAGGAAGGUGUUGUGGUUAAUAACCGCAGCAAUUGACGUUACCCGCAGAAGAAGCACCGGCUAACUCCGUGCCAGCAGCCGCGGUAAUACGGAGGGUGCAAGCGUUAAUCGGAAUUACUGGGCGUAAAGCGCACGCAGGCGGUCUGUCAAGUCGGAUGUGAAAUCCCCGGGCUCAACCUGGGAACUGCAUUCGAAACUGGCAGGCUUGAGUCUUGUAGAGGGGGGUAGAAUUCCAGGUGUAGCGGUGAAAUGCGUAGAGAUCUGGAGGAAUACCGGUGGCGAAGGCGGCCCCCUGGACAAAGACUGACGCUCAGGUGCGAAAGCGUGGGGAGCAAACAGGAUUAGAUACCCUGGUAGUCCACGCCGUAAACGAUGUCUACUUGGAGGUUGUGCCCUUGAGGCGUGGCUUCCGGAGCUAACGCGUUAAGUAGACCGCCUGGGGAGUACGGCCGCAAGGUUAAAACUCAAAUGAAUUGACGGGGGCCCGCACAAGCGGUGGAGCAUGUGGUUUAAUUCGAUGCAACGCGAAGAACCUUACCUGGUCUUGACAUCCACCUUACCUGGUCUUGACAUCCACGGAAGUUUUCAGAGAUGAGAAUGUGCCUUCGGGAACCGUGAGACAGGUGCUGCAUGGCUGUCGUCAGCUAGAACUUUCCAGAGAUGGACUGGUGCCUUCGGGAACUGUGAGACAGGUGCUGCAUGGCUGUCGU